UCUUCUGCCCCAUCACCUGGGCUUUGAAGGGCUCUGAUUUAGUUCUGUCAUUAGCCCUUACUGAAUUAGCUGUACCUGUCAUGAAGUUCAUGGACUACACUCUGUCUCUAUUGGGAUUUGGAGCUGAGGUACAAAGAAUCUGACCAGGAUUGAGAGGAGAGGGCAACUGGGAAGAUGCAGAAUUCUCCAGGUGGGAAGGUCAGUGAAAUUGUAGUUUUGGAGGGUCAUUAAAAUGGUAUAGGACUGAGCAAGGUUUUGUUCUGUAAUACGUAAGGUCUCUAUGAGUUGGAACUGACUCAAUGGCAACUAAGAACGACAUAGGAUGGGGAAAGAUAAGCCCUGACUAGGUAAUUAGGGAAGGAGAUGGUUAAAGACCUGAAGGGGUCUGAUGCUGGAGAGCAGGUAGAAGAAGUAUUUUCACUCAGUACCUCUAAAGCACAAAGAGAUGAGUAUAACCUAAAUGUUUCCAGUUCUAAAAGUCAA